AACGAACGCUGGCGGCAGGCCUAACACAUGCAAGUCGAGCGAGGACUUCGGUUCUAGCGGCGGACGGGUGAGUAACGCGUGGGAAUGUGCCCUUCUCUACGGAAUAGCCCUGGGAAACUGGGAGUAAUACCGUAUACGCCCUAUUGGGGAAAGAUUUAUCGGAGAAGGAUCAGCCCGCGUUGGAUUAGGUAGUUGGUGGGGUAAUGGCCUACCAAGCCGACGAUCCAUAGCUGGUUUGAGAGGAUGAUCAGCCACACUGGGACUGAGACACGGCCCAGACUCCUACGGGAGGCAGCAGUGGGAAUCUUAGACAAUGGGGGCAACCCUGAUCUAGCCAUGCCGCGUGAGUGAUGAAGGCCUUAGGGUUGUAAAGCUCUUUCAGCUGGGAAGAUAAUGACGGUACCAGCAGAAGAAGCCCCGG
rnacentral:rRNA from 1 species